rnacentral:rRNA from 1 species
GAUGAACGCUGGCGGCGUGCCUAAUACAUGCAAGUCGAGCGAACGGACGAGAAGCUUGCUUCUCUGAUGUUAGCGGCGGACGGGUGAGUAACACGUGGAUAACCUACCUAUAUGACUGGGAUAACUUCGGGAAACCGGAGCUAAUACCGGAUAAUAUUUUGAACCGCAUGGUUCAAAAGUGAAAGACGGUCUUGCUGUCACUUAUAGAUGGAUCCGCGCUGCAUUAGCUAGUUGGUAAGGUAACGGCUUACCAAGGCAACUAUGCAUAGCCGACGUGAGAGAGUGAUCGGCGACACUAGAACUGGGACACGGACCAGACUCCUACGGUAGGCAGCAGUAGGGAAUCUGCCGCAGUGGUCGAGAGCCUGGCGGAGCGACGCCGCGUGAGUUAUGAAGGUCUUCGGUUCGUAAUACUCUGUUAUUAGGGAACAACAUAUUUGUAAGUAACUGUGCACAGCUUGACGGUACCUAAUCAGAAAGCCACGGCUAACUACGUG